GCGGGGGCGAGCAGCUAUCAGCAUAUCAUGCAGCCACCACACAAGCUUGAAUAAAAAGGAUUCAGUCACGUAUAAAAAGUGUCCACGCUGACAUGUAAACUCCUUUUCGGCCUGGAAAUGAUUACGAGUGCAAAUUACAAGGUGGCGUUGCCCAAGCCAGCCAGUGAGGCUUUCGGUGACCUUUUAACCAGAGACCGUGUGAUGCUGAGUUGGACUUCCACUUUUAUGCAACACUGUGAGCAAUGUUAAUAGAACUUUUGACUUUUUGAAACAGUCUUUUGGGAGGAGCAGAGGGCAGCAACUGGACUUCAGGAUGACUAGGAUGUGUGAGUCACCAACACGGUACAAAGACCCUGUAGAACACAAAACAAUCCUAACAUAGAUAUUUGUAGCCUUGUAGCUUUGUUUAUACUGUGUGCACAGGCUAAACAAAAAGUUAUUUAGUUUGACAAGAAGUCGAAUAUUUUACAGGUUUGGUGCUGAUCUUACCAUUUGACGAACUUGAUGUUGCCGUGUUUAAUAAUCACGACACAAACAGACAGAUGUUGUGUACUUUAUCCCAGAGAAAAUACUUUUUGUAUGGUAAUUGAUCAACUGCUCUGAAUCAGUGCAGGCUUCAAAGCUUUUUCUACACAUCUGCAGUCUUUACCGUCAUCUUUUCAAGUACGUAAAUUAUUGGUGAAUACAAUUAUAGUUUGUUGUUGAUUUCCUAAAAUGCCAAACAAAGUGUAUACGUCAUACACUGCAGAUUUUGCUAAU